AUGAAUCAUGCUGCCACGCAGGCAGCAGGGUCUAGCCCUUUCUCGCCCUCUCUGCACCCCUCUCACCCUCUCUACACCCCUCUCACCCUCUACAGCCCUUUCUCCCUCUCUACAGCCCUCUCUCCCUCUCUACACCCCUCUCUCCCUCUCUACACCCCUCUCACCCUCUCUACACCCCUCUCUCCCUCUCUACACCCCUCUCUCCCUCUCUACACCCCUCUCUCCCUCUCUACACCCUUCUCUCCCUCUCUACACCCUUCUCUCCCUCUCUACACACCUCUCACCCUCUACACCCCUCUCUCACUCUACACCCCUCUCUCCCUCUCUACACCCCUCUCUCCAUCUACAGCCCUCUCUACACCCCUCUCCCUCUCUACACCCCUCUCUCACCCUCUAUACCACUCUCUCCCUCUCUACACCCCUCUCUCCCUCUCUACACCCCUCUCUCCCUCUCUACACCCCUCUCCCUCUCUACACCCCUCUCACCCUCUACACCCCUCUCCCUCUCUACACCCCUCUCUCCCUCUCUACACCCCUCUCUCCCUCUCUACACCCCUCUCCCUCUCUACACCCCUCUCUCACCCUCUACAGCCCUCUCUCCCUCUCUACACCCCUUCACCCUCUCUACACCCCUUCACCCUCUCUACACCCCUCUCUCCCUCUCUACACCCUUCUCUCCCUCUCUACACCCCUCUCUCCCUCUCUACACCCCUCUCUCAAUCUACACCCAGUCAGUCAGGACCUAUCCUGCUCCUGUCUUGUCCCCUACAGUCAGUCAGAACCUAUCCUGCUCCUGUCUUGUCCCCUACAGUCAGUCAGGACCUAUCCUGCUCUACACCUAUCCUGCUCCUGUCUUGUCCCCUACAGUCAGUCAGGACCAUUAGAAUUCCUACUACCUCCCCUUCGUGUUCACAGCCUUCACACAGACUCCACAGGACUCCGUCAUCCCUGUCGGGUCACUCCCAGGCCGUCCCAGGACUCCGCCAUCCCUGUCGGGUCAUUCCCAGGCCGUCACAGGACUCCGUCAUCCCUGUCGGGUCACUCCCAGGCCAUCACAGGACUCCGUCAUCCCUGUCGGGUCACUGCCAGGCCAUCAAAGGACUCCGUCAUCCCUGUCGGGUCACUCCCAGGCCGUCCCACUCAAGAGGACCACAGAAGAGGUCCAUUGACAGUCUAGUCUAG
rnacentral:lncRNA from 1 species